rnacentral:rRNA from 1 species
AACGAACGCUGGCGGCAGGCCUAACACAUGCAAGUCGAGCGAGACCUUCGGGUCUAGCGGCGGACGGGUUAGUAACGCGUGGGAACGUGCCCUUCUCUGCGGAAUAGCCACUGGAAACGGUGAGUAAUACCGCAUACGCCCUUCGGGGGAAAGAUUUAUCGGAGAAGGAUCGGCCCGCGUUAGAUUAGAUAGUUGGUGGGGUAACGGCCUACCAAGUCUACGAUCUAUAGCUGGUUUUAGAGGAUGAUUAGCAACACUGGGACUGAGACACGGCCCAGACUCCUACGGGAGGCAGCAGUGGGGAAUCUUAGACAAUGGGCGCAAGCCUGAUCCAGCCAUGCCGCGUGAGUGAUGAAGGCCUUAGGGUCGUAAAGCUCUUUCGCCAGAGAUGAUAAUGACAGUAUCUGGUAAAGAAGUCCCGGCUAACUCCGUG